UUCCAGUGAAGGUAGUGGGUUUUGUCUGGAAAUGAAAUGGACGUAAAAAGACUGGAACAGCUCAUGUUCGUCUUCAGAUACUCCUUUCUCUUGCAGCGUCAAGGAGUGCGCAAAGAUGAAGCUGAUGUUAAGAGUGUUAUGCUCAGACAACAAAGAUGAAAGGUCAGUGCAAGACUUUCUUUCACGGUAGCCGUAAGACCCUUAUUUCUCAACUUGUUAUGCAAGGAUUGAGGGAAUGAAACUGGUGUUCUACAUCUAUGUCAAAACUACAGAUUACAGACAACAGAAAUAAAAAGGUUACAGG